rnacentral:rRNA from 1 species
AGAGUUUGAUCCUGGCUCAGGAUUAACGCUAGCGGCAGGCCUAAUACAUGCAAGUCGAACGGCAGCGGGUCCAGCAAUGGAUGCCGGCGAGUGGCGCACGGGUGCGUAACACGUAUGCAAUCUACCCUUAACUGGGGGAUAGCCCCGAGAAAUCGGGAUUAAUACCCCAUAAUAUUAUGAAGUGGCAUCAUUUUAUAAUUAAAGUUCCGACGGUUUUGGAUGAGCAUGCGCGACAUUAGCUAGUUGGCGAGGUAACGGCUCACCAAGGCUGCGAUGUCUAGGGGUUCUGAGAGGAUUCACCCCCACACUGGUACUGAGACACGGACCAGACUCCUACGGGAGGCAGCAGUAAGGAAUAUUGGUCAAUGGACGCAAGUCUGAACCAGCCAUGCCGCGUGAAGGAAGACGGCCCUACGGGUUGUAAACUUCUUUUGUACGGGAAAAAACCACCGGUCGUGAAUCGGUGCUGAUGGUACCGUAAGAAUAAGCAUCGGCUAACUCCGUGCCAGCAGCCGCGGUAAUACGGAGGAUGCAAGCGUUAUCCGGAUUCAUUGGGUUUAAAGGGUGCGCAGGCGGAAUGAUAAGUCAGUGGUGAAAUCCUACGGCUCAACUGUAGAACUGCCAUUGAUACUGUUGUUCUUGAGUACACUA